CCGCCGGCGACCGGCGCACGGGUGAGUAACACGUAUGCAACCUGGCCGUGACAGAUGGAUAACCGGGAGAAAUCCCGCCUAAUACAGCAUGACGCCGGGAAGGGACAUCCCUUUCCGGCCAAAGGGGGCGACUCCGGUCACGGAUGGGCAUGCGGCGCAUUAGGUAGUUGGUGGGGCAACGGCCCACCAAGCCGACGAUGCGUAGGGGUUCUGAGAGGAAGGUCCCCCACAUUGGAACUGUGACACGGUCCAAACUCCUACGGAAGGCAGCAG
rnacentral:rRNA from 1 species